rnacentral:rRNA from 1 species
UACGGAGGAUGCGAGCGUUAUCCGGAUUUAUUGGGUUUAAAGGGUGCGUAGGCGGCUUUUUAAGUCAGCGGUGAAAUUUUGCAGCUUAACUGUAACAGUGCCGUUGAUACUGGGGAGCUAGGAUUUGGUUGCUGUGGGUGGAAUGUGUGGUGUAGCGGUGAAAUGCUUAGAGAUCACACAGAACACCAAUUGCGUAGGCAGCUUACUGAGCCGACACUGACGCUGAGGCACGAAAGCGUGGGGAUCAAACAGGAUUAGA